rnacentral:rRNA from 1 species
GAUGAACGCUGGCGGCGUGCCUAAUACAUGCAAGUCGAGCGAAUGGAUUAAGAGCUUGCUCUUAUGAAGUUAGCGGCGGACGGGUGUGUAACACGUGGGUAACCUGCCCAUAAGACUGGGAUAACUCCGGGAAACCGGGGCUAAUACCGGAUAACAUUUUGAACCGCAUGGUUCGAAAUUGAAAGGCGGCUUCGGCUGUCUCUUAUGGAUGGACCCGCGUCGCAUUAGCUAGUUGGUGAGGUAACGGCUCACCAAGGCAACGAUGCGUAGCCGACCGGAGAGGGUGAUCGGCCACACUGGGACUGAGACACGGCCCAGACUCCUACGGGAGGCAGCAGUAGGGAAUCUUCCGCAAUGGACGAAAGUCUGACGGAGCAACGCCGCGUGAGUGAUGAAGGCUUUCGGGUCGUAAAACUCUGUUGUUAGGGAAGAACAAGUGCUAGUUGAAUAAGCUGGCACCUUGACGGUACCUAACCAGAAAGCCACGGCUAACUACGUGCCAGCCGCCGCAGUAA